GACGAACGCUGGCGGCGUGCUUAACACAUGCAAGUCGAACGGAAAGGCCCUGCUUUUGUGGGGUGCUCGAGUGGCGAACGGGUGAGUAACACGUGAGUAACCUGCCCUUGACUUUGGGAUAACUUCAGGAAACUGGGGCCAAUACCGGAUAGGAGCUCCUGCUGCAUGGUGGGGGUUGGAAAGUUUCGGCGGUUGGGGAUGGACUCGCGGCUUAUCAGCUUGUUGGUGGGGUAGUGGCUUACCAAGGCUUUGACGGGUAGCCGGCCUGAGAGGGUGACCGGCCACAUUGGGACUGAGAUACGGCCCAGACUCCUACGGGAGGCAGCAGUGGGGAAUAUUGCACAAUGGGCGGAAGCCUGAUGCAGCAACGCCGCGUGCGGGAUGACGGCCUUCGGGUUGUAAACCGCUUUCGCCUGUGACGAAGCGUGAGUGACGGUAAUGGGUAAAGAAGCACCGGCUAACUACGUGCCAGCAGCCGCGGUGAUACGUAGGGUGCGAGCGUUGUCCGGAUUUAUUGGGCGUAAAGGGCUCGUAGGUGGUUGAUCGCGUCGGAAGUGUAAUCUUGGGGCUUAACCCUGAGCGUGCUUUCGAUACGGGUUGACUUGAGGAAGGUAGGGGAGAAUGGAAUUCCUGGUGGAGCGGUGGAAUGCGCAGAUAUCAGGAGGAACACCAGUGGCGAAGGCGGUUCUCUGGGCCUUUCCUGACGUUGAGGAGCGAAAGCGUGGGGAGCGAACAGGCUUAGAUACCCUGGUAGUCCACGCUGUAAACGGUGGGUACUAGGUGUGGGGUCCAUUCCACGGGUUCCGUGCCGUAGCUAACGCUUUAAGUACCCCGCCUGGGGAGUACGGCCGCAAGGCUAAAACUCAAAGGAAUUGACGGGGCCCCGCACAAGCGGCGGAGCAUGCGGAUUAAUUCGAUGCAACGCGUAGAACCUUACCUGGGUUUGACAUGGAUCGGGAGUGCUCAGAGAUGGGUGUGCCUCUUUUGGGGUCGGUUCACAGGUGGUGCAUGGCUGUCGUCAGCUCGUGUCGUGAGAUGUUGGGUUAAGUCCCGCAACGAGCGCAACCCUUGUUCACUGUUGCCAGCACGUUAUGGUGGGGACUCAGUGGAGACCGCCGGGGUCAACUCGGAGGAAGGUGGGGAUGACGUCAAGUCAUCAUGCCCCUUAUGUCCAGGGCUUCACGCAUGCUACAAUGGCUGGUACAGAGAGUGGCGAGCCUGUGAGGGUGAGCGAAUCUCGGAAAGCCGGUCUCAGUUCGGAUUGGGGUCUGCAACUCGACCUCAUGAAGUCGGAGUCGCUAGUAAUCGCAGAUCAGCAACGCUGCGGUGAAUACGUUCCCGGG
rnacentral:rRNA from 1 species